GUACCGAGGUGAGCAGAGGCAGCGAGAGGCCCGCGCUGAGGCGGCGCAGCGCAAAGGGGCGGACGCUGAGGGCGGCCAGGGCGCGGCCGGCCGCCGGGAACUCGAGGCGCAGCGUGACGGCGGCGUGCAGCCCCACGGCCGGGCUGUAGCGCGUGAGCUCCAGGAACACAGCGCGGCUCCUGCGCAGAGGGUGCGGGUCAGUAGGAGCGGGUGGCAGGGCGGGAGCUGCGGGGACCGCGCAGUGCAGGCGUGGCUGAGGGGCUGUGGAAGCCGCCUAGGCCAGCGGGGGCCGGAGGAGUGAGGGUGGGCUCCUGGCUGGUGACUGCGGCCACCCCGGAGAGGGCAGGGGAGGGAGCUCCCACCUGUUGUCCAGCCAGUUGUGCAGCUGCAGGAAGCGCAGCCGGUCGCGGCUCUCCUCCAGGCUCAGGCCCAGCUCCUGCACGUAGCCCCCGCUGUCAUACACGGCACAGGAGCCCCAGGACCAUGCCCUGCCGGAGAGGGGUGGCGUGGGUGCCGCACCCCAGCCCUUCCGGCACCCCGGAGCCAGGCUGGUCAGGAGGCCGCGGCACUCCUGGAGAACUACUCCCUUGUCCUUGGCGUAGACGCCCGGGGCCCUCGCUCUGCUCACCCCAGCAGAUCCGGCGCUGAAUAGGCCCACGUCCCCGAGCCAUUGUGAGGACUCUCCCAGCCAACGUCGUAAUCGCUGGUGCUGAAGCCUCCUGCGGCCGAGCACGUGUGGACCCUGGGGCCGGGAGGGUCUGGGUAGAGUGCUGAAACACACAGAGCCCCAGGCCGGGGCCAGGGCCUCAUCAAAACCCAACAGGAGUG
rnacentral:lncRNA from 10 species